GAAAAAGCAGACCACUACCACUUUGGGGGGGGAGGUCUAUAAGGCCUUGGGAGGUGUGAUUUUUAUUUUAAAGUAUAUAUUGUUGAGGAGUAGUGUGCUUAAGGAAGUUCAAAAAGGAUAAUGGGAAAGUGUCAUUUGGUCUAAAAUUGUAAUUGGUAAAGAAUAAGACAAAAGAAGGUUUCUUGCAAAUUACUUGGUAUCUGUUUGGUUCAGUUAGAAUAUCUGACUAUGAAGAACUACUGUGACAUUUCAUGUACUUUCAGUAUUUGAAGAAACUUCUCAGUUGCUCUUUGAAUACUUGUUCAUUAAAAUCCGCUUCUUUAACUUAAUAUUCUUUACAACUAACAAUGAUAACUUAAUAAGGCAAUAAAAACUGAAGGUAUAUAGUCCUGAAGAUUCAGAAACCUCUAUGCCAAAAAUUAUGGCACAUAUUUGAUUAUGGAGUUGUGGAAAUGUUGGGCUGCACUGAGGAGAACUAAUUAACAAUGCCUAUCAUUGAAUUAAUUCACUCUUAUUUACAUCUGCACUCAUGGGAGUCCAACACCUUAUUUUAAGUACAUGUAGAAAGUUAUUGAUAUCAAUAGGACUCUUGAACUGCUUAAUGUUAAGCAUGUGCUAAGCUUUUUUUUGGUCAGUGGGUGAAUGAGGUCUCCAUCCUCUCUUGAAAUUCAGUACACUGGCUUUUUGUGGACUUAGUGCACAAGGGUGAAUUUCCAUAAGUAAUUAUACUGAUAUAGAAGUGAAUUACUUGCGUGUUUAAGGCAAGUAUAAUUUAGCCACAAAGUUAUUAAUUGUUGUAGGGAAUAGACUUAAAGAGGCAAGAGUUUGUAAUGGGGAUGAAAAGAUGAAGAUAAGGUUUAUUUUACAAAAAAAAAUGUUGUUCUUUUUAUAACUAUUUUGAGCAAACUGUCCACGAAAAAUAAUGAACCACGAUGCCUAACAGCACAUUAAAUAUUUUUGCUUAUAUAUUUCAGUUAGUUAAUGAAGGCACCUUUUUUUUUUAAUAGGAAACUAGGUUGAGCUCAAAAACUAUUCUAAAUGUAAUUUUAUCUGUUGGAUGUUACUUUGCUUUAUCUGGAAAAAACAAUCAACUUCUGUGUUCAAAGAUCACGUCAGAUAACAAGAAAUAGAUCUAUUAUUUAUGCUAUUAACACUGAAAUAGUUUUCUUGAGGUGCAAUAUUUAUUUUUCUGCUUUAACAAGACACGUUUAUUGUUUUUCCUGCACAGCACAGAUGUUUCUAGUAAAAGGAGUUUUAAAAGGGCACUAUUUUUGUGUAUCAUAUUUAAAUUUGUAAUAUUGUAAGAUUUUGCACAAGUGUGCUGGUAUUGUACUGUAUAGUAUCACAUACUUGAGUUUUGAAAUAAAAGUAUGGUUUCAAAGUCCUCAAUGUUGCUACCUUAAAGGUUUGGUUUUUUACAUGCGCGCUGUCUGCAUAUUAAUUGGUUUGUUCUUGUUAAAUACAUACUGCCUUGUCUGUCGUAGUGCCGUGCUACACAUACCAAAGAUCUUGUUCUUAGUCUUUCAGUUCUUCAGGAGAGUGAUGUAGAAGAAGCAAGCAAACUACUGUUUCAAUAGAGAAAGUGUUUGUAAGCAGGGUCAUCCCUGUCAUAGCCUAGACACAAGAUGAGAGAGGAAACUGAAAUAUCCUGGAGAGAGUUUAACUCCUACUUCAGAGGGAGGCUGUCUGUCACUGAGGAGGUUGAACAUGGAAAGCCACAAGGGAGAUCUGUAACCAAAGGAGGCCGAGUGAAAGACCCACAAACAGGUUAAAGACCUUUUAUACUGUUACAGUCCAGCUAAGUGAUCUCCUACAUAAUUUUGGAACCGCUGAAAUAUAAAAAGGAAGAAACUAACCAGAAAAAAAAAAUAAAGCUAAAAAUCCUACUAAAAAUCAAUAGCAUGGACAGAGUUUGACUAAAGGAUCUUUGCCACUGUGAGGAUAAUAAGCAAGAAGUGUUAAAAUUUGGAAGGACAAUUAGCACGCAAUUUCAAAAUGCCAGAAACCCAGCUUUUGAUUAGUUUUUAUGGUAGGAAAUACUUAGCAGUUCAAGGACCUUGAAAACAGCCUGGGGAUGUAGGACAUCUAAAAGUUUACUGAAUUACCAACUGAGUAUGACGUAGCAAAACCAUCCUGUUGCCAAAGAAGGGCUCAUACUAUUCUGAACUGCAAAAGCAGGU